GAUGAACGCUGGCGGCGUGCCUAAUACAUGCAAGUCGAGCGAACGGACGAGAAGCUUGCUUCUCUGAUGUUAGCGGCGGACGGGUGAGUAACACGUGGAUAACCUACCUAUAAGACUGGGAUAACUUCGGGAAACCGUAGCUAAUACCGGAUAAUAUUUUGAACCGCAUGGUUCAAAAGUGAAAGACGGUCUUGCUGUCACUUAUAGAUGGAUCCGCGCUGCAUUAGCUAGUUGGUAAGGUAACGGCUUACCAGGGCAACGAUGCAUAGCCGACCUGAGAGGGUGAUCGGCCACUCUGGAACUGAGACACGGUCCAGACUCCUACGGGAGGCAGCAGUAGGGAAUCUUCCGCAAUGGGCGAAAGCCUGCCGGAGCAACGCCGCGUGAGUGAUGAAGGUCUUCGGAUCGUAAAACUCUGUUAUUAGGGAAGAACAUAUGUGUAAGUAACUGUGCACAUCUUGACGGUACCUAAUCAGAAAGCCACGGCUAACUACGUG
rnacentral:rRNA from 1 species